AUACUUACCUUGCGAAGAACUUUGCCCCCGAUCACGAAUGGGGGAGUUCAGCGUGGAAGGCCUGCAUUGCACAUCGUGGUGUCGUUCUGCGCUCCAUUGUCCUUCGGGGCCAUGGGUCGUGUAAUUUUUGAUUUACAACUUCUUUCAUUGU
rnacentral:snRNA from 13 species